rnacentral:rRNA from 1 species
GAUUAACGCUGGCGGCGUGCAUAACACAUGCAAGUCGAACGAUGAAACUUAAAUGAUUUCUUCGGAAUGAACUUAAGUGGAUUAGUGGCGGACGGGUGAGUAACGCGUGAGUAACCUGCCUUACACAAGGGGAUAGCCGUUGGAAACGACGAAUAAUACCCUAUGAUGUUUCUAUCUCGCAUGAGAUAUUAACCAAAGUGUUAGCGGUGUAAGAUGGACUUGCGUCUGAUUAGCUAGUUGGUGAGAAAAAAGCCCACCAAGGCAACGAUCAGUAGCCGGCUUGAGAGAGUGUACGGCCACAUUGGGACUGAGACACGGCCCAGACUCCUACGGGAGGCAGCAGGGGGGAAUUUUGCACAAUGGGGGAAACCCUGAUGCAGCGACGCCGCGUGAUUUAGAAGGCCUUCGGGUUGUAAAAAUCUUUUGUAUAGGAAGAAAAUGACAGUACUAUACGAAUAAGGUCCGGCUAAUUACGUG